rnacentral:lncRNA from 1 species
GCCGGGCCUGCGGACCGACGGCGCUGCGGGGCCGAGGCGCCUGUGCAGGUGCGGACGGGCGCGAGGGUCGGGGGGGCGCCGGGGGCCUGCGCUCGCGGCCGGGGCUGGACGCCGUCGGCGAAAGGGCGAGUGGGUGAUGGCUGCGGGGUGGCCCAGGUGAGCCGCCAACCUCAAGUGCUCUCGCCCUGGGCCCUCAGGAGGUGUCCUGGGAACUCGAGCUCUCACUGUGCGCUCUCAGGAGGUGUUCUGGGACCUCCAGCUCUCCCUCUGAGCCCUCGGGAGGUGUCCUGGGACCUCGAGCUCUCACUGUGCACGCUCGGGAGGUGUCCUGGGACCUCGAGCUCUCACUGUGCACCCUCAGGAGGUGUCCUGGGACCUCGAGCUCUCCACUGUGCACCUCGGGAGGUGUCCUGGGACCUCGAGCUCUCACUGUGCACGCUCAGGAGGUGUCCUGGGACCUCGAGCUCUCACUGUGCACCCUCNUCUGGGACCUCCAGCUCUCCCUCUGAGCCCUCGGGAGGUGUCCUGGGACCUCGAGCUCUCACUGUGCACGCUCGGGAGGUGUCCUGGGACCUCGAGCUCUCACUGUGCACCCUCAGGAGGUGUCCUGGGACCUCGAGCUCUCACUGUGCACCUCGGGAGGUGUCCUGGGACCUCGAGCUCUCACUGUGCACCUCGGGAGGUGUCCUGGGACCUCGAGCUCUCCCUCUGGGACCUCGGGAGGUGUCCUGGGACCUCGAGCUCUCUCUUUGCACCCUCAGGAGGUGUCCUGGGACCUCGAGCUCUCCCUCUGGGCCUUCGGGAGGUGUCCUGGGACCUCGAGCUCUCACUGUGCACCCUCAGCAAGUGUCCUGGGACCUUGAGCUCUCCCUCUGCCCCUCGGGAGGUGUCCUGGGACCUCGAGCUCUCACUGUGCACCUUCAGGAGGUGUCCUGGGACCUCGAGCUCUCACUGUGCACCCUCAGCAAGUGUCCUGGGACCUUGAGCUCUCCCUCUGCUCCUCGGGAGGUGUCCUGGGACCUCGAGCUCUCACUGUGCACCCUCAGGAGGUGUCCUGGGACCUUGAGCUCUCACUGUGCACCCUCGGGAGGUGUCCUGGGACCUCGAGCUCUCCCUCUGGGCCCUCGGGAGGUGUCCUAG